rnacentral:rRNA from 1 species
CUACCAUGCAGUCGAGCGGCAGCACGGGGAGCUUGCUCCCUGGUGGCGAGCGGCGGACGGGUGAGUAAUGCAUAGGAAUCUGCCCGAUAGUGGGGGAUAACCUGGGGAAACUCAGGCUAAUACCGCAUACGUCCUACGGGAGAAAGCGGGGGCUCUUCGGACCUCGCGCUAUCGGAUGAGCCUAUGUCGGAUUAGCUGGUUGGUGAGGUAAUGGCUCACCAAGGCGACGAUCCGUAGCUGGUCUGAGAGGAUGAUCAGCCACAUCGGGACUGAGACACGGCCCGAAMUCCUACGGGAGGCAGCAGUGGGGAAUAUUGGACAAUUGGGGGCAACCCCUGAUCCAGCCAUGCCGSGUGUGUGAAGAAGGCCUUCCGGGUUGUAAAGCACUUUCAGUGGGGAAGAAAGCCUUCCGGCCAAUACCCGGGAGGAAGGACAUCACCCACAGAAGAAGCACCGGCUAACUCCGUGCCAGCAGCCGCGGUAAUACGGAGGGUGCGAGCGUUAAUCGGAAUUACUGGGCGUAAAGCGCGCGUAGGUGGCUUGAUAAGCCGGUUGUGAAAGCCCCGGGCUCAACCUGGGAACGGCAUCCGGAACUGUCAGGCUAGAGUGCAGGAGAGGAAGGUAGAAUUCCCGGUGUAGCGGUGAAAUGCGUAGAGAUCGGGAGGAAUACCAGUGGCGAAGGCGGCCUUCUGGACUGACACUGACACUGAGGUGCGAAAGCGUGGGUAGCAAACAGGAUUAGAUACCCUGGUAGUCCACGCCGUAAACGAUGUCGACUAGCCGUUGGGUCCUUCGCGGACUUUGUGGCGCAGUUAACGCGAUAAGUCGACCGCCUGGGGAGUACGGCCGCAAGGUUAAAACUCAAAUGAAUUGACGGGGGCCCGCACAAGCGGUGGAGCAUGUGGUUUAAUUCGAUGCAACGCGAAGAACCUUACCUACCCUUGACAUCCUGCGAACCCUUCGGAGACGAAGGGGUGCCUUCGGGAGCGCAGAGACAGGUGCUGCAUGGCUGUCGUCAGCUCGUGUUGUGAAAUGUUGGGUUAAGUCCCGUAACGAGCGCAACCCUUGUCCCUAUUUGCCAGCGAUUCGGUCGGGAACUCUAGGGAGACUGCCGGUGACAAACCGGAGGAAGGUGGGGACGACGUCAAGUCAUCAUGGCCCUUACGGG